ensembl:lncRNA
CCCUUAUUAUCAAUUGUACUCAGAAGUACGAUCAGUAGAAAAGUGAAAAAUCUGCAGUUUAAUGGGCUGAAACAUGCACUGGUAUACACUGGCCAACAGAUUGAAUCAAAUCAAUUAAAUUACUAUUAAUAGAAGACACAAACCACAAUUUUGCAACCAAAAAAAAAAUCAGAAAUCUAUUUUAUGAAAUAUUUUAAGUAACUCUUAUUUUACCAUUAUGCUUUAGAAGUGGUCAAACUAAUAGAUUUCUUAGCUCGGGGUGGUGUCAGCCCAACAUGCGGCGCUAGAAGACUCGCUUUGAAUUUGUGGAACUAUACAUCAUGGUUGCUCAUGUGGCCAUCUUCGUUGUUGACGUCUGUUCAGCCCAAAGGGACUGAGCAUAAUCGGGUGCAGGACGUACGCACGACUCAAAGUGAUCAAACCUGCCAAGUAGAACUGGCCCGUUUCCAUCUGAUCCCAAACAAACUGUUGCUGGUGAAAGUAUUGUUCUCUAUCACAAAGUCCUUGUUGUGUUGCAGCAGGGGCAAAUUAUGACCCCGCUACCCGUGCUGGUGAAAUGAUUCUUGGGAAAAUUGGUGCAACAUCCCAUGGCGCCCCAUGAAUGGGAGAGGAGGAAACGCUGUGCAGCUCUCUCAGACACACAGACACACACACACUUAUGUACCUUAGCAUAGGUGUGUGUGUGUGUGUGCACACAAAAACCAGGCACAUGGAGACGGCACAGUCCUCUUCAGAAAACGACCAAAGUGACCAGAAAGCAAUCAGCUGCAACAUUCGAAGAGCAGCUCUCAGCCCCCUCUUGCACUACUUCUUCAUCUUGAGGUCGGCCUCCAUGGCACUUCGCCGCCCCCUAGUGCCUCCAUCCUGCAGCAGAGACACAAAGAAACGUGGCAGAAGAGAAAGAGAGCGCUUAACGUAAGGGUGUACAGGUCAAAGGUCAGGGAGGCCCUGUGGCAGGCCUCCUUGUGUCAUUGAGCUCCGCACAAAAACACAGCACAGUCCACCCUGGAAGGCAUCGUUCCCCAAAUGAUGAACAGAAAAAAUAAUCAUGAGCAAAAUAAAAAGAAAACAAGGAGAAAAGAAACUGGAACAUGCAGAGAUGCUAACGCACAUUAACGGAAAAACACAGGAAACUGGCAUUAACCGAAGGUCGACGGAAGCUUGGGUGAUGAAAGUUACCUGUGUGUGUGAACGUGUGAAUGCGGGAUGGGAAAAAUUGUGUGCAAACAGAAAUGUAAACGUUUAUGAGGGUGAUACAGACAGUAUUUUCAAAGAUAUAUGAGAGUGUCUGUUUGUGUGUGUGUGGUGAGAGAAACUGCAAGGAAGAGGAAGAAGAAGUCUUUCAUUUCUAUAUCAUCUGUAUGGCACAUCUGUAGAGCACAGGAUGGGCGUAGGCUCACGACCCAUCUCUUCUGCAUUUAAUCACUUCUACACUUCUGAGUAGUUGACACCACUUUAAUAACUCAGCGGUUUAGAGCAACAAUGUCUUUGAUUCUG